GCAAAGUUGGCUGAGCGGACGAAAGCAACCGUUUGCUAAACGGUCGAUCCAUAAGGAUCCACAGGUUCGAAUUCUGUACUUUGCG
rnacentral:tRNA from 1 species